rnacentral:rRNA from 1 species
UACGUAGGUGGCAAGCGUUAUCCGGAAUUAUUGGGCGUAAAGCGCGCGUAGGCGGUUUUUUAAGUCUGAUGUGAAAGCCCACGGCUCAACCGUGGAGGGUCAUUGGAAACUGGAAAACUUGAGUGCAGAAGAGGAAAGUGGAAUUCCAUGUGUAGCGGUGAAAUGCGCAGAGAUAUGGAGGAACACCAGUGGCGAAGGCGACUUUCUGNGUCUGUAACUGACGCUGAUGUGCGAAAGCGUGGGGAUCAA